ensembl:lncRNA
GAGAUAUCUUGCGGUCUUCGAAUGUUUUGAAUCCGUUGAAUCCGGUACAUACUUUUGGAACAGAGUUGAGUGCAGUGUUAUGUGUGAGGCGAUACCGCCUCAACGGGGGGAGGGGUUCACCCGGAGGUGGGAGUCCCGGAGGGGUUCACCCGGAGGUGGGAGUCCCGGAGGUGUUCACCCGGAGGUGGGAGACCCGGAGCCGCGAGAGAAUGCUGACUAUGAGAAUGCUGACUACAGGGCAGCAGCAGCGAGAACAUGCAACCCCUGGAGGAUGCUCAAUCCUCCAAUGACGAGAUGGUGGUCCGGUGGGUCCGGUCCGGUACGAAGCUGCUGGGUACGAAACUUCAACGGGGGGUCUGCUCAGUGGCAUACAGGAUGAGAAGAUGUGAAGAUCCAUACCCUGGGUGUACGUGCUAGCCUAACCUCUCCCCAAAGGGUGGCUCUCUACAGUAUGUAAAGUGCUUGAGCUGAAGACAACCAGCAUACAGAGAGAUACUGCAUACAACAGACUGUCAAGUAUUGUUAUAAAAUGUUAUAAAAUGUUUGUGAUAUGACGCAAUCAGGCACAGAAAAGUAUAAUGGUGCUGCCGAGCACAUAGUGCUGGCAGGGUGGGAAUUUUUCCUUAUAAGAGGUUUUUUCGCCCACCCCUGACUACGAAAGACUGGGGUUUGGUUUUUGAGGGGAAGCAAGAAUCUGCAGGUCCCGACAAAUACAAAACUGUGGGCUGACAGGCCUAGUUGAGAAAGAUAGGGACGUGUAGAUCCAAUCAAGUAGUUAGUUAUUGUAGUGGCCACUCAUACGUACGGCAGUAGUAGUAGUAAUGAAUGAUUAGGGGAACUCAGUUAAUCACACUUAUAAUCGAUGUAGGCAAACAAAGUAUAAUCAAGGUAGUUAGAUUCGAAAUGAGAUAUAUAUAUAUAUAUAUAUACAUAGUUAAAAGGAGAAGUAGGUUAAGGGUUAAGAGUUAUGGCUAGGUACAUCUACACAUGUCCGGCAAGUGGAUGUAGGGGGGUCCUAAGGCCCAUUUUCCAGCUGCCAAUCUACUAUGAGACCCCGGGGCGCACAACACUAGCCCGUCUCCCACCAGGUCUACAAAACCUCCUCAGCUCCUAUUCGGAUCAGUGUUGCGUAGAAGUGGUUAAUUUAAGGGACCCAUUUGAGAACGGGGACGGGCGCAGGGAUUAUGGCUUCGUUAGAGUAAUCCUCCGACAGCUAGCGGGGGACUAUCCUAGGGAACAUCGGGCACAAGGCGGGGUACACCCUGGACAGGGUCAGGACAAUCGCAUACACACUCACACACCUAUUCAUACACUUUAGACUCAGUCAAUCAGCCUACCAUGCAGAUCUUUGGACUAGGGGGAGGAAACCGGAGGAAACCCCCACAGCACAGGGAGAACAUGCAAACUCCACACACACUGCCCCGGCGGGAAUCAAACCCUAGACCCUUGAGGUGUGAGGCAAACAUGCUAACCACUAAGCCACCGUGCACCCCAAAAAGUAAUUCUAAUAAGUAAAUAAAAAAUAAAAGUUUUUAUUUAACUACAAAAAGUUUUCAAAACUCUUUUUUUGUGUGCGUGUGAGUGUGUGUGUGUGUGUGUGUGUGUAUGUGUGUGUGUGUGCGUGUCUAUUUUACAUACGCACAAAUUUUCUUAUCUAUUCCUGCAGGCUCACCUCACUCGGGUCCCUUCUACACUUAGUUUUUUCAGCUCUAGAAUAGGAGUGUUUUCCUUUUUAAUUUCUAUAUUUUCUUAUUUUAAUCUAAUAUAAUUUUCCA